UUGAACGCUGGCGGCAGGCCUAACACAUGCAAGUCGAACGGUAACAGGAAGCAGCUUGCUGCUUUGCUGACGAGUGGCGGACGGGUGAGUAAUGUCUGGGAAACUGCCCGAUGGAGGGGGAUAACUACUGGAAACGGUAGCUAAUACCGCAUAACGUCGCAAGACCAAAGAGGGGGACCUUAGGGCCUCUUGCCAUCGGAUGUGCCCAGAUGGGAUUAGCUAGUAGGUGGGGUAAUGGCUCACCUAGGCGACGAUCCCUAGCUGGUCUGAGAGGAUGACCAGCCACACUGGAACUGAGACACGGUCCAGACUCCUACGGGAGGCAGCAGUGGGGAAUAUUGCACAAUGGGCGCAAGCCUGAUGCAGCCAUGCCGCGUGUAUGAAGAAGGCCUUCGGGUUGUAAAGUACUUUCAGCGGGGAGGAAGGGAGUAAAGUUAAUACCUUUGCUCAUUGACGUUACCCGCAGAAGAAGCACCGGCUAACUCCGUGCCAGCAGCCGCGGUAAUACGGAGGGUGCAAGCGUUAAUCGGAAUUACUGGGCGUAAAGCGCACGCAGGCGGUUUGUUAAGUCAGAUGUGAAAUCCCCGGGCUCAACCUGGGAACUGCAUCUGAUACUGGCAAGCUUGAGUCUCGUAGAGGGGGGUAGAAUUCCAGGUGUAGCGGUGAAAUGCGUAGAUAUUAGGAGGAACACCAGUGGCGAAGGCGGCCUGCUGGACAUUAACUGACGCUGAGGCGCGAAAGCGUGGGGAGCAAACAGGAUUAGAUACCCUGGUAGUCCACACUGUAAACGAUGGAUACUAGGUGUAGGAGGUAUCGACCCCUUCUGUGCCGGAGUUAACGCAAUAAGUACCCCGCCUGGGGAGUACGUCCGCAAGGAUGAAACUCAAAGGAAUUGACGGGGGCCCGCACAAGCGGUGGAGCAUGUGGUUUAAUUCGAUGCAACGCGAAGAACCUUACCUGGUCUUGACAUCCACGGAAGUUUUCAGAGAUGAGAAUGUGCCUUCGGGAACCGUGAGACAGGUGCUGCAUGGCUGUCGUCAGCUCGUGUUGUGAAAUGUUGGGUUAAGUCCCGCAACGAGCGCAACCCUUAUCCUUUGUUGCCAGCGGUCCGGCCGGGAACUCAAAGGAGACUGCCAGUGAUAAACUGGAGGAAGGUGGGGAUGACGUCAAGUCAUCAUGGCCCUUACGACCAGGGCUACACACGUGCUACAAUGGCGCAUACAAAGAGAAGCGACCUCGCGAGAGCAAGCGGACCUCAUAAAGUGCGUCGUAGUCCGGAUUGGAGUCUGCAACUCGACUCCAUGAAGUCGGAAUCGCUAGUAAUCGUGGAUCAGAAUGCCACGGUGAAUACGUUCCCGGGCCUUGUACACACCGCCCGUCACACCAUGGGAGUGGGUUGCAAAAGAAGUAGGUAGCUUAACCUUCGGGAGGGCGCUUACCACUUUGUGAUUCAUGACUGGGGUG
rnacentral:rRNA from 1 species